rnacentral:rRNA from 1 species
UACGUAGGGUGCGAGCGUUAAUCGGAAUUACUGGGCGUAAAGCGUGCGCAGGCGGUUUUGUAAGCCAGAUGUGAAAUCCCCGGGCUCAACCUGGGAAUGGCGUUUGGGACUGCAAGGCUGGAGUGCGGCAGAGGAGACUGGAAUUCCUGGUGUAGCAGUGAAAUGCGUAGAUAUCAGGAGGAAUACCGAUGGCGAAGGCAGGUCUCUGGGCUGACACUGACGCUCAUGCACGAAAGCGUGGGGAGCAAACGAGG